GAUGAACGCUGGCGGCGUGCCUAAUACAUGCAAGUCGAGCGAACGGACGAGAAGCUUGCUUCUCUGAUGUUAGCGGCGGACGGGUGAGUAACACGUGGAUAACCUACCUAUAAGACUGGGAUAACUUCGGGAAACCGGAGCUAAUACCGGAUAAUAUUUUGAACCGCAUGGUUCAAAAGUGAAAGACGGUCUUGCUGUCACUUAUAGAUGGAUCCGCGCUGCAUUAGCUAGUUGGUAAGGUAACGGCUUACCAAGGCAACGAUGCAUAGCCGACCUGAGAGGGUGAUCGGCCACACGGGAACUGAGACACGGUCCAGAGUCCUAAGGGAGGCAGCAGUAUGGAAUGUUCCGCAAUGGGCGAAAGCCUGACGGAGCAACGCCGCGUGAGUGAUGAAGGUCUUCGGAUCGGAAAACUCUGUUAUUAGGGAAGAACAUAUGUGUAAGUAACUGUGCACAUCGUGACGGUACCUAAUCAGAAAGCCACGGCUAACUACGUG
rnacentral:rRNA from 1 species